rnacentral:rRNA from 1 species
GACGAACGCUGGCGGCGUGCCUAAUACAUGCAAGUAGGACGCAGUUGCGAACGGGUGAGUAACGCGUAGGUAACUGCCUAUUAGAGGGGGAUAACUACUGGAAACGAUAGCUAAUACCGCAUACUAGUAGAUGGAUCUGCGUUGUAUUAGCUAGUAGGUAGGGUAAUGGCCUACCUAGGCGACGGAACAUAGCCGAGCUGAGCAGGUGAUCGGGCACAACGGGAAUGGGAACCGGCUCAAGAUUCUUCCGGAGGCAGCAGUAGGGAAUCUUUGGAAAUGGGGGGAACCCUGAACGCGCAAAGGCGGGGGGGGGAAGAAGGGUUUCGGAUUGUAAAGCUCUGUUGUGAAGGAAGCGGUACUUAACCAGAAAGGGCCGGCUAACUACGUGCCAGCAGCCGCGGUAAUUC